UGUUUGUCUUUUAACUCGUCUCUACCCUGAAGCCACCCACCGAAGCAGCGAACAUUCUCUGUGUGGAGAUGGAGAUAAGGGAAGGAGAAGGCACUAAUGUGGAAUCACUUUGAGGGGAUCCACCUGGAGAUUGGCUGGGUUUUCCUGGCAGGUUUGGCUCUGGAGGCAGCCUGGGCUCAAGCACCUGUCUGCUGCAGAGUGCGCCCGGAGGAACCCCGGCAGAGGUUUGCAUAGUCCUCAUGGCCAAGGAGAUAUUCCUUUUGUGAGAACUUUGAGGCCUUGAUCGGAGGUAGAGGGCAAAACUAGAUGCUGAAGAGAACGUGGCACUGAAGCUAAUGAUGAGGGAUUGUGCUGCUGAUUGGUGACUCUCAAAGGAUGGACUAUUUGCUACCUUUCUCUUUCCAAUAUUGUGUCUCUCCUGUGUCAGACGUGUCAGAAGACAUCAAUCGGUCAGGAAAGAAUCCCACUCGGUAGCAAACUAGACCAUAAAUAAUGCCCUCUGCUAAAGCACAGACCAUUCUCCAGCUGAUGAGAACAGAACAAUACAGAGGUAUUAAUUGCCUCUUUAAGAGUAUAAAACCACUCUGCUGCUUGGAGCAGUGCAGCUCUUUAGGAUCUUUAGCUGCUAAUGACCACUGGAAUCUGAGGGGCUACAAUUGUCUUCCCAAUUAUUUAAGAACCUGAAGCAGUCUCUGAGUGGUGAGUAGUAAAAAGAAAAAUCAAAGCAAUGUGCUAUAUUGUGCACUAAAAUGAUUGGCUUAUAUGGUGCUGUGUUUUCAUGUAAUUUAACAUUUAGAAAACUAAAGAAAACUAACUAAAUAAAAAUAAUCUAUUUUUU